rnacentral:rRNA from 1 species
AUUGAACGCUGGCGGCAGGCCUAACACAUGCAAGUCGAACGAGUGGCGGACGGGUGAGUAAUGUCUGGGAAACUGCCUGAUGGAGGGGGAUAACUCCUGGAAACGGUAGCUAAUACCGCAUACCAUCAGAUGUGCCCAGAUGGGCUGAGCUAGUUGGUGGGGUAACGGCUCACAAAGGCGACGAUCCCUAUCUGGUCUGAGAGGAUGCACAGACAAACUGGAACUGAGACACGGUCCAGACUCCUACGGGAGGCAGCAGUGGGGAAUAUGGCACAAUGGGCGCAAGCCUGAUGCAGCCAUGCCGCGUGUAUGAAGAAGGCCUUCGGGUUGUAAAGUACUUUCAGCGGGGAGGCGUUACCCGCAGAAGAAGCACCGGCUAACUCCGUGCCAGCAGCCGCGGUAAUUC